AUGGAGACAGGUCGUCAAGGAAUCCAUUUUGAAGCACUUGGACGAGAGGAAGGUGACCAGGAACUGUCAACAUGCAUUCAUCAAGGACAAGUCAUGCCUGACCAACUUGAUUGCCUUCUAUGAUGAGAUAACUGGCUCUGUGGAUAUGGGGAAAGCGGUGGACAGGAUAUAUCUUGACUUU